CGUAUGUGCAGGUUGAACACCCCAUACCUGUUCUUCUCUUUUGGCAGCAACUUCCGACUCAAAUAAAGAACUGGGUGUUCCUCACCUGCAUGAACCUGGGACAGGACAGCCCACAGACCCACCUCUGAGGCGUCUACCUGGACCACAAAAAAGGCUUUCUAGAAGUUGUACAGCAAAAAGUCUGAUUCCAGAGCCGGGACAGUCGGAUCCCCUUGGUUUCCUGGAGCAUGAGGCAGCAGAGAUGCAGUGGGACGUCACUGACACGCAGCAACAGUGUUGGCGGCCCGCUGCACAGCCUGGACUACUCCCAGAGACCUGGGGUCUCAUUUAUAAAACUUGGAGAAGGGGACGUGGGCUCCGAUGGACCACCAGGAGAUUCACACCCUCCUCAACAUCCAGACCUAGGCCGUCUACGGGCCAAUCGACCUGUUGAUCCCCAGAGAUCCAGCGGCGCCCUGAGGGUGUCAACCAGCAGAGGAGUAUCUAUGGAGAGAUAUUGUUCCUCUCUCUGGUGGCCUUGGGGAAGGAGAACAUCGACGUAGAGGCCUUUGACGGGGAGUACCGGCUGGCUUACGACCAACUGAGCGCCGAGCAGCUCAAGUCUUUGCACCGCAUGGAUCGUACGCCCAGCCCCAGUGUCCAGUGGUGCCUUAAAUGCUUCGGGACCCCCGUCAUCUGACCACAAACACAGAAGUGACAGUAAAAAAGAAGUUAAAUAUUUAGGGAUGGUAGUUACAAAGAGUAUGAAUAUUAGGGAAACAUCUAAUAUAUAAAAGUAAACAGAAUAGUAAAACUAUCCUGAAAAGUUGGCUUCAGAGAGACUUUUUGAGACAUUUUGAAGAUGGAGAGUUUAUCUAGACUUGUAUAUCCAGCCUAUUCAUUCGAUAUUUCUGGUCAAUCAAGACAAUUUCAAUUUUAUAUGGAAAAAUAAACAUAUGGAGAAAUGAUAUAGUGAAAUCUGAUGAAGAAAGGAGGUUUGAUCCAAUGAAUGGUAUCAUCAAAUUAAAAUGGUUGCAUAGGUUCUUUAGGAAAGGUGAACGUUUUUGGUUAGAUUUUCCAUCCAAGAUCUUCAGGAAUUUUGGUGGCAUAGAUUUUUUUUAUUAAGAUGUUACUUUGAUAUUUCUAAACUACCUGUCAGCAUGUCCUCCAUUAUUGGAAACUGAUAUACAAGCAUAAUUUACCCCAUACAUGGUCUCAAUAUUUGAAGCAUAAUAAUAAUAAUAAAGAGAAAGUCCUUUUACAAA